CCUACGGGGGGCUGCAGUGGGGAAUAUUGGACAAUGGGGGGAACCCUGAUCCAGCCAUGCCGCGUGUGUGAAGAAGGCCCUCGGGUUGUAAAGCACUUUCAGUGAGGAAGAACGCCUGGUGGUUAAUACCCAUCAGGAAAGACAUCACUCACAGAAGAAGCACCGGCUAACUCCGUGCCAGCAGCCGCGGUAAUACGGAGGGUGCGAGCGUUAAUCGGAAUUACUGGGCGUAAAGCGCGCGUAGGUGGCUUGAUAAGCCGGUUGUGAAAGCCCCGGGCUCAACCUGGGAACGGCAUCCGGAACUGUCAAGCUAGAGUGCAGGAGAGGAAGGUAGAAUUCCCGGUGUAGCGGUGAAAUGCGUAGAGAUCGGGAGGAAUACCAGUGGCGAAGGCGGCCUUCUGGACUGACACUGACGCUGAGGUGCGAAAGCGUGGGGAGCAAACAGGAUUAGAUACCCGAGUAGUC
rnacentral:rRNA from 1 species